GCGAGGGGCGGCUCGUCCGCUCCGAGAUCGGACCCGACCCCGAGGGCGACCGCGUCUUGCCCGACACCCCCGCCGUUUGAGUCGCGCGCGGAGCGCCCCUCUUCCCAUCACAUGUCGCGGGCCUGCCUUUAACUCUCCGCCGUCGCGGGUCGGGGCCAACGCGGAAGGCACCUCUCAGGCAAAGGCAAGUGGAUUCUUUCCCGUUUCCAAGCCUCAGCUGGCAACAGACUGUCAGCUGUCUCAGAACUGGCACGGACCAGGGGAAUGCGACUGUUUAGGUAAAACAAAGCAAUGCGAUGGUCGGUGAUCGAUGCUGACACAUUGUGAUUUCUGCCCAGUGCUCUGAAUGUCAAAAUGAAGAGAUUCAACCAAACGCGGGUAAACGGCGGGAGUAACUAUGACUUUUAAGGUAGCCAAUUGCCUUGUCAUCUAAUUAGUAAUGCACAUGAAUGGAUUAACGAGAAUUCCACUUUCCCUAUCUAUUAUCUAGUGAACCCACAGGCAGGGAAACGGGCCUGCAGUUGAGCUUGACUCUAGUUUGGCUUUGAAGAGAAGCACCAGAGGUGAAGCAUAAGUGGGAAAGCCUAAUAUCUGACGAUGAAAUACCACUACUCUGGUCGUCUCUCUACUUGGUUAUGCCAGAACGGGAGGCUUGACGGGGGUCGGGCGCGCGGACGGGCUGCGGCAACCGCGGCGCGGCGGUCGUCCUUUCCUUCCCAUCCUUCUCUCCUAUGCCUCUACUAGUUUCUAAGCGACACGUCAAAGCGGGGCUCCGUCCCCGUCUCCGUUCGCGGCCGCGUGGAUAGCCGUUCCGAGGACAGAGCCAGAUGGGGAGUUUGACUGAGGCGGUACAUCUGUCAAAUGAUAACGCAGAUGUCCCAAGGUCAGCUCAGCCCUGGACAAAAACCACGUGUAGCCUAAGGACAAAUGCUGGCUUGAUCCGGACUGCAAAAGCAUGGCCUAGCAAUUCUUUUGACUUUUACAAGUUUUAAGCAGAAAGUUACCACAGGGAUAACCGGCUUGUGGUGGCCAAGCAUUCAUAGUGACGUCGCUUUUUGAUCCUUCGAUGUCGUCUCUUCCUAUCAUUGUGAAGCAGUUUAC
rnacentral:rRNA from 1 species